rnacentral:rRNA from 1 species
UAAACGAUCUCGGACACGGAUAUCUCGGCUCUCGCAUCGAUGAAGACGUAGCGAAAUGCGAUACUUGGUGUGAAUUGCAGAAUCCCGUGAACCAUCGAGUCUUUGAACGCAAGUUGCGCCCAAAGCCAUUAGGCCGAGGGCACGUCUGCCUGGGCGUCA